AGUGGCGCACGGGUGCGUAACACGUACACAACCUGCCUUAUACUGGAGCAUACCCCCAAGAAAUUGGGACUAACUCUCCAUAAUGUUAUGAAGUGGCAUCACUUUAUAAUUAAAACUCCGGUGGUAUAAGAUGGGUGUGCGUCCGAUUAGAUAGUUGGUGAGGUAACGGCUCACCAAGUCAACGAUCGGUAGCUGGUCUGAGAGGACGAUCAGCCACACGGGCACUGAGACACGGGCCCGACUCCUACGGGAGGCAGCAGUAGGGAAUAUUGGACAAUGGGCGCAAGCCUGAUCCAGCCAUCCCGCGUGAAGGAUUAAGGUCCUAUGGAUUGUAAACUUCUUUUCUCUGGGAAUAAAAAGUGGGAUUCAUUCCUGCCUUGAAGGUACCAGAGGAAUAAGCACCGGCUAACUCCGUGCCAGCAGCCGCGGUAAUACGGAGGGUGCAAGCGUUAUCCGGAUUCACUGGGUUUAAAGGGUGCGUAGGUGGCUUUGUAAGUCAGUGGUGAAAUGCCGGAGCUCAACUCCGGAACUGCCAUUGAUACUGCUUAGCUUGAAUCAAGUCGAGGUGGAUGGAAUAUUACAUGUAGCGGUGAAAUGCUUAGAUAUGUAAUAGAACACCGAUUGCGAAGGCAGUUCACUAGGCUUGUAUUGACACUGAGGCACGAAAGCGUGGGGGAUCAAACAGGAUUAGAUACCCUGGUAGUCCACGCCCU
rnacentral:rRNA from 1 species